GACAGCUUGUAGCUCAGUGGUGAAGCACAUGCUGUGCAUUCAGAAGGUCCCAGGUUCAAUCCCUGGUGCUGCCA